GAGAGGUGCUGCAUGGCUGUCGUCAGCUCGUGUUGUGAAAUGUUGGGUUAAGUCUCGCAACGAGCGCAACCCCUAUCGUCUGUUGCCAGCAUUAAGUUGGGCACUCUGACGAGACUGCCUGGGUUAACCAGGAGGAAGGUGGGGAUGACGUCAAGUCCUCAUGGCCCUUAUGUCUAGGGCUACACACGUAAUACAAUGGCGCGUACAGAGGGAAGCGAACUCGCAAGGGGGAGCAAAUCUCAAAAAGCGCGCCUCAGUUCGGAUUGGAGUCUGCAACUCGACUCCAUGAAGUUGGAAUCGCUAGUA
rnacentral:rRNA from 1 species